AGAGUUUGAUCAUGGCUCAGGAUGAACGCUAGCUACAGGCUUAACACAUGCAAGUCGAGGGGCAGCAUUGGAGUAGCAAUACUUCAGAUGGCGACCGGCGCACGGGUGAGUAACACGUAUCCAACCUGCCGCUUACUCGGGGAUAGCCUUUCGAAAGAAAGAUUAAUACCCGAUGGUAUAAAGAGUUCGCAUGUUCUCUUUAUUAAAGAAUUUCGGUAAGCGAUGGGGAUGCGUUCCAUUAGAUAGUUGGCGGGGUAACGGCCCACCAAGUCUACGAUGGAUAGGGGUUCUGAGAGGAAGGUCCCCCACAUUGGAACUGAGACACGGUCCAAACUCCUACGGGAGGCAGCAGUGAGGAAUAUUGGUCAAUGGACGAGAGUCUGAACCAGCCAAAGUAGCGUGAAGGAUGACUGCCCUAUGGGUUGUAAACUUCUUUUAUAAGGGAAUAAAGUGAGGGACGUGUCCCUUUUUGUAUGUACCUUAUGAAUAAGGAUCGGCUAACUCCGUGCCAGCCGCCGC
rnacentral:rRNA from 1 species